rnacentral:rRNA from 1 species
CUGACCUGCGGAGGGAUCAUUACCGAGUUUACAACUCCCAAACCCCUGUGAACAUACCUAUACGUUGCCUCGGCGGAUCAGCCCGCGCCCCGUAAAAAGGGACGGCCCGCCCGAGGACCCCUAAACUCUGUUUUUAGUGGAACUUCUGAGUAAAACAAACAAAUAAAUCAAAACUUUCAACAACGGAUCUCUUGGUUCUGGCAUCGAUGAAGAACGCAGCAAAAUGCGAUAAGUAAUGUGAAUUGCAGAAUUCAGUGAAUCAUCGAAUCUUUGAACGCACAUUGCGCCCGCCAGUAUUCUGGCGGGCAUGCCUGUUCGAGCGUCAUUUCAACCCUCAAGCUCAGCUUGGUGUUGGGACUCGCGGUAACCCGCGUUCCCCAAAUCGAUUGGCGGUCACGUCGAGCUUCCAUAGCGUAGUAAUCAUACACCUCGUUACUGGUAAUCGUCGCGGCCACGCCGUAAAACCCCAACUUCUGAAUGUUGACCUCGGAUCAGGUAGGAAUACCCGCUGAACUUAAGCAUAUCAAUAAGUCGGAGGAA